rnacentral:rRNA from 1 species
UACGUAGGGCGCAAGCGUUGUCCGGAAUUAUUGGGCGUAAAGAGCUCGUAGGCGGUUUGUCGCGUCUGCUGUGAAAACCUCAGGCUCAACCUGGGGCUUGCAGUGGGUACGGGCAGACUAGAGUGCGGUAGGGGUGACUGGAAUUCCUGGUGUAGCGGUGGAAUGCGCAGAUAUCAGGAGGAACACCGAUGGCGAAGGCAGGUCACUGGGCCGCAAACUGACGCUGGAGGAG